GAUGAACGCUAGCUACAGGCUUAACACAUGCAAGUCGCGGGGCAGCAUGGGGGUUGCUUGCAAUCCCCGAUGGCGACCGGCGCACGGGUGAGUAACGCGUAUCCAACCUGCCCUUCACCACGGGAUAACCCGGCGAAAGUCGGACUAAUACCGUAUGUUGUCCAUUGACGGCAUCCGAUUUGGACGAAAGGUUUGGCGGCGAAGGAUGGGGCUGCGGCCGAUUAGCUGGACGGCGGGGUGACGGCCCACCGUGGCGACGAUCGGUAGGGGUUCUGGGAGGAAGGUCCCCCACACUGGAACUGGGACACGGUCCAGACUCCUACGGGAGGCAGCAGUGACGAAUAUUGGUCAAUGGGCGUGAGCCUGAACCAGCCAAGUAGCGUGCAGGAUGACGGCCCUAUGGGUUGUAAACUGCUUUUAUGCGGGGAUAAAGUGGCCCACGUGUGGGUUUUUGCAGGUACCGCAUGAAUAAGGACCGGCUAAUUCCGUG
rnacentral:rRNA from 1 species